GACGAACGCUGGCGGCGUGCUUAACACAUGCAAGUCGUACGGUAAGGCCCUUUCGGGGUACACGAGGGGCAAACGGGUGAGUUACAGGUGAGUAACCGGCCCACAACUUUGGGAUAACCCUUAGAAACUGGUGCCAACACUGGAAAUGUGCUACUAUCGCAUGGAGGGGGAUGGAAAGGCUCGGAGGUUGUGGAUGGACUCGAGGCCUAUCAGCUUGUUGGUGGGGUAGUGGCCUACCAAGGCGGCGAAGGGUAGCCGGCCGGAGAGGGUGACCGGCGACAUGGGGACUGAGGUACGGCACAGACUCCGACGGGCGGCAGCAGUGGGGAAUAUUGCACAAUGGGCGCAAGCCUGAUGCAGCAAGGCCGCGUGCGGGAUGACGGCCUUCGGGUUGUAGACCGCUUUCAGCAGGGACGAAGCUUUUUGUGACGGUACCUGCAGAAGAAGCACCGGCUAACUACGUG
rnacentral:rRNA from 1 species